AGAAAAUUCACUCCAAACGCGUCUCUCAACUAGCCGGACCAGAUAGAACGAUAGAAGGGGCAAGCAGGACGAAGAUAUUCAACAACAACAAAAAAGACCACAACGAGUAACAGUAUGAUGUUGUGCUACGCUGCGUAAAAAUCUCCCUUCAUCACAAGGAAAAGCUGUUUCUAAUAUUACAACCCGCUCUGGAAUGAACACAUCAGCAUCCUGCAGCUCUUCAGCAUCGACCUGGUGUCAUCUGAUUCACGAAACACGUCCCCAGUGAAAUACGGGCCCCAGCCUCUCCUCUUCCUUCCUGUGGAUGCAUAGCCCCCCUGGCUCUUCAUUAAUGGAAAAGGUUAAUGUCAGUACACGCUCUACUCAUGCAGCUCCCCCCCCCACCCCC